GAUGAACGCUGGCGGCAUGCCUAACACAUGCAAGUCGAGCGAACGAACGAAGAUCUUUCUUCUCUUCAGUUAGCGGCGGACGGGUGAGUCACACGUGGCUAACCUACCUAUAAGACUGAGGUAACUUCGGGAAACCUGAUCUAGUACCGGAUAAUAUGUUGAACCGCAUGGUUCAACAGUGAAAGCCGUUUUUGCUGUCACUUGUAGAUAUAUCCGCGCCGCAUUAGCUAGUUGGUAAGGUAACGGCCUACCAAGGCGACGAUGCGUAGCUGAUCUGAGAGGAUGAUCAGUCACACUGGAACUGAGACACGGUCCAGACUCCUACGGGAGGCAGCAGUAGGGAAUAUUGCGCAAUGGGCGAAAGCCUGACGGAGCCACGCCGCGUGUGUGAAGAAGGUCUUCGGAUCGUAAAGCUCUGUUAUUAGGGAAGAAGAGAAGUAUGAGUAACUCUGCACGUCUUGACGGUACCUACACAGAAAGCCACGGCUAACUACGUG
rnacentral:rRNA from 1 species